rnacentral:tRNA from 1 species
GGUGGCUCAGUGGCAGAGCAUUUGCCUUGCAUGCAUGAGGCCCUGGGUUCGAUUCCUCAGCACCA